UACAUAUUCUCAGAUGCUAUAAAGUGAGAC
rnacentral:piRNA from 1 species